CCUACGAGAGGCAGCAGUGGGGAAUAUUGUAUAAUGGGGGCAACCCUGACGCAGCGACGCCGCGUGAGGGAAGAAGUAAUUCGUUAUGUAAAGCUCUAUUAGCAGGGAAGAAAAUGACGGUAAGUGAGUAAGAAGCAGCGGCUAACUACGUGCAAGCAGCCGCGGUAAUACGUAGGGGGCAAGCGUUAUCCGGAUUUAAUGGGGGUAAAGGGAGAGUAGUCGGUGCAGCAAGACCGGUGUGAAAUGCAGCAGCUUAACCGCUGAACUGCUUUGGAAACUGGCAGACUAGAGUGCGGGAGGGGUAAGCGGAAUUCCUAGUGUAGCGGUGAAAUGCGUAGAUAUCAGGAGGAACACCAGUGGCGAAGGCGACUUACUGGACCGUAACUGACGUUGAGGCUCGAAAGCGUGGGGAGCAAACAGGAUUAGAUACCCUUGUAGUC
rnacentral:rRNA from 1 species